GCGCUGCCUGGAUUCUCCACCUCCUCAACUCCAGGAAGCAACAAGCUAUCAAAGACAGAAUUUGCACAACAGGACAAAGGAAGGCAGCAUCAAAAUGAUCCCGUGCCACAGUGACUAUGUCAGAAGGUCAUUGACCCUGCCUUUGAUGCGCACUGAUGGGCUUGCCUCUCUCUUUUCCACUUAUAUCCUUGUUUCCCAACUUCUGGAUACCGAUCAAACGUCAGGCUAUAAACAUCUUGAAGGCAGAGAUUAUAUCUCAUUCAAUCUUCUAUCUCAAGUAUCUACUGCAAAACCAAGCAAACGGUAAGAGCUCAAUAAUUGGUGGUUCUUCAUGUCAUCCUUAUCUAUAAAAGGGUUCAAAAUAAAAUAUCAUAAAGACAUCCCGCCCACACACUUACUUAUUUCUCUGAAUGUUUACAACAUUUCUAAAUGAUACCACUCUACUGUCAAUUAAUAAGAAUAAUUUAUUUUAUUGUGAUUUAAUUACAUGGCCCUAUACAUUUACCCACUGCUUUGUCUACCAGACAAACCUAGAUUUGAAUCUUGCUUGCUUGCUUCUCUUGCUCUCUGUGUGGCAUUGGCCAAAUCAUUGCACCUCUUGGAUCCUCAUUUUUCUCAUCUAUAAGAUGGAGAUGAUAUAAUACAUCUGCCUUGCAGAACGGUAAAAGGAUUAGCAGUGUUGUAUGAAGGACAUGUUGUACAAUGGCUGGGAUGGAAAAGAUGUCCAGGAAGAGGUACCUAUGCUUUCUAUUGCAUGGAAGGAGUUCACUACAAAUGUUUGUUAAUUUAGUCUCGGCCUCUGUUUAGUACAGUCAUACACCUCAGAGAUAUUGAGGGUCUGGUUUCAGAUGACUACAAUAAAGAAAAUGUUACCAUAAAACAGUCACACACAUGUUUUGG